UACGUAGGGUGCGAGCGUUAAUCGGAAUUACUGGGCGUAAAGAGUGUGUAGGCGGUGCUCUAAGUUCGGUGUGAAAUCUCCUGGCUCAACUGGGAGGGUGCGCCGGAAACUGGAGUGCUUGAGCGUGGGAGAGGAAAGCGGAAUUCCUGGUGUAGCGGUGAAAUGCGUAGAUAUCAGGAGGAACACCUGUGGUGUAGACGGCUUUCUGGACCAUAGCUGACGCUGAGACACGAAAGCGUGGGUAGCAAACAGG
rnacentral:rRNA from 1 species